rnacentral:lncRNA from 1 species
UGGGUUCUAUCGGUCUCCUUUUAGGUCCUCCCAACCCUAUAGCCUCUAUGGGGUUCCUAUUGGCUUCUAUUGACUCCUAUUGGGCCCCAGUGUGAUCAACUCAACGUCUAUUGGGUCCUCUCAUCCCCUAUUGGCUUCUAUUGGGCCCCUAUUGGCUUCUAUUGGGGUCCUCCCAUCCCUAUUGGGGUCCUCCCAUCCCUAUG